GACGAACGCUGGCGGCGUGCUUAACACAUGCAAGUCGAACGGAAAGGCCCUGCUUUUGUGGGGUGCUCGAGUGGCGAACGGGUGAGUAACACGUGAGUAACCUGCCCUUGACUUUGGGAUAACUUCAGGAAACUGGGGCUAAUACCGGAUAGGAGCUCCUGCUGCAUGGUGGGGGUUGGAAAGUUUCGGCGGGUGGGGAUGGACUCGCGGCUUAUCAGCUUGUUGGUGGGGUAGGGGCGUACCAAGGCUUUGACGGGUAGCCGGCCUGAGAGGGUGACCGGCCACAUUGGGCAUGAGAUACGGCCCAGACUCCUACGGGAGGCAGCAGUGGAGAAUAUUGCACAAUGGGCGGAAACCUGAUGCAGCAACGCCGCGUGCGGGAUGACGGCCUUCGGGUUGUAAACCGCUUUCGCCUGUGACGAAGCGUGAGUGACGGUAAUGGGUAAAGAAGCACCGGCUAACUACGUGCCAGCAGCCGCCGUAA
rnacentral:rRNA from 1 species